rnacentral:rRNA from 1 species
UGGGGAAUUUUGGACAAUGGGCGAAAGCCUGAUCCAGCAAUGCCGCGUGUGUGAAGAAGGCCUUCGGGUUGUAAAGCACUUUUGUCCGGAAAGAAAUCCUUGGCUCUAAUACAGUCGGGGGAUGACGGUACCGGAAGAAUAAGCACCGGCUAACUACGUGCCAGCAGCCGCGGUAAUACGUAGGGUGCAAGCGUUAAUCGGAAUUACUGGGCGUAAAGCGUGCGCAGGCGGUUUGCUAAGACCGAUGUGAAAUCCCCGGGCUCAACCUGGGAACUGCAUUGGUGACUGGCAGGCUAGAGUAUGGCAGAGGGGGGUAGAAUUCCACGUGUAGCAGUGAAAUGCGUAGAGAUGUGGAGGAAUACCGAUGGCGAAGGCAGCCCCCUGGGGCCAAUACUGACGCUCAUGCACGAAAGCGUGGGGAGCAAACAGGAUUAGAUACCCUGGUAGUCCACGCCCUAAACGAUGUCAACUAGUUGUUGGGGAUUCAUUUCCUUAGUAACGUAGCUAACGCGUGAAGUUGACCGCCUGGGGAGUACGGUCG